CAGCAUUUGCAUAAUAUUUAGAGAUGAAAAGGGGGUCAUUUUGCCCACAUUAAGAAAUGACCUUCCUCUGGCAAUUAAACAUGCUAAACAUCCAUUAGUGCUGAAAUAGUAGCAAAUUAUGAUUAAUAACAACUUUGCCUAUGUGAUUAUCGUUUUCUUGUACUUGUUACAGAAACAGCUCGGUCAUACUGUGAAGAUGUAUGACAGGGGAGUUGAGUGGCUUACCAGAGGUAGUAGGCAGAUAUGGGGAACUGUCUGUGAUUAGAAGCAAGUAGAGUUUGUCCCCAUACUGUUUUGCCCCCACAAUUAUAGGGUGUGAAAACCCUCCACAGCAAGUUGACUCCCCAUUAUAACACAACCCUUUCCCAGAAAACCAUAAAGAUAUGGCUCAGAAAUGAAACCCUGGAACAUGGAAAUGGUUCCCCCAACUCCAGAAAACCUGCAAGAUGCCUGGAAGCCAUAGUGAGUAGCCACAUGGCUGAGCGUUGCGGGGGCUGAGACCUGCGGCUGCACUUCUAUCUCUUCAGUCUGGAUGAGUUUGACCUGCAGGGCUCCACCCCUGCCCACUUCACUACGCCCAGCGACACCACCACCUCGCUCAGGGACCUGGCGGCCAGCGGCACUGGCCGCUUCCACUGGUUUAAGGAGACCAGUAAGAAACCAACGUAGUUCCAUUCUGUGCAGAUGGAAAGGAAUGAUGUGUGCAAAACAUAUUGUGGGCAUAUGGGUUUCUUUCAAUAGCGUUGACAGAAAGUGAUGACAUUAACAGCAUAAUGGUGGAAAUGAAAAAAGCAGUCAGUUGCUCUCAGAAGGUGAGUUUAUUUUUUAAAUGUAUUUCAUUAUGGCCCAUUACACAAAUACGCAGGGCAAUAAUACUGCAGAUUCCGUAUUUGCACUCCUUCAGUAGCUCUGUUGACUGUUAACACCUGUUGGAUAUAACUCUGUCUACCUUGUGCAGUGUGCCAUGCUGGUAGAGUCUCUUAAGCAGAGGUCUAACAAUAAGCAGCAGGAUGACGACCGUGAAAAUGAAGAGAGCCAGAAAGAGGAGCUUAAGAGAGAGAAGCGCAGCCCUUUGAAACUGUCUGCAUCGAAACCCACAGCACUCACGCUGGCCGGGGUGGUUAGAGGCGCUUUUCAUUUGAAUUUUGACGUGCUAGAUAGACUCUGGAAUAUGUACUGCAUAAUAGUGUUAACAAAGAAAGUGCACUAGAGACAUUCUAUGGUAUGAUUAUUAUUGCUUGUUGUGGUAUGAGCUGUAGUUUAAACCAAUGCAAAUGAAAAACCCAGAUACAGUAAAUACAGCUGUAAAUGUUGCAAAACUAAUCACAAAAAGUGGUGCAGAUUAUGUUUAUUCGACACUUCCAAGGACCCAGAGGGGCUAACUGCCCUUUGUGAUUGUCCUUUUAUUUAAAGAGGCUGUAUUUUAUUUUGGUUUAGCUUUAUACUGGGAUGAAUAGGAGAAUAGGGGUUGAUCUAAGCAGCAACCCCCAGUAAAGUAGAAAUUCCCCCAAUUACUUUUUUUCUGACCACUAGAGGACACUAGAGGUAUAGGAUCUCAGGAGGCAAUACCUGGAACCCUAAGGCACACGUAUACAAAAAGUUCAAAUAAGUAUUAGCCAUGUCAUUACUGGGGUUGACCUAUAGAAAGGACAAAGCUUUUGGUUUAAUGAAAGCACAAAGUUAUAGAAAAUAAAUCCCCCCAGGCUCUUCUGUCGAGGUUGUUUAGGUUUUAUGCAGCAUGAAAAUAUGUUAUUGCUGAACAUUUUAAUUAUCAGUGCAAUAUGCAUGAUUAUGCUGCUGUUCAGGCAAAUACAAUAGAUGAUGAGAGGGGGCGUUUCAAACCCUUGCACUAUUUUUCCUUGUGAAUAAUCCACAUUUUUAUUUUCAUGAAUAUUUAAACUCAGGCAGGAGAAGGUCAUUGAUGCUGCCUGGGCCCAGAAAGUAAAAUGGUGUUCCUUCCUUGCCUUCUCGCGAUUGCGGUUCUAUCUGACCAACAAAGAUGACAAGACUAGGCUUUCCUUAAGAAAUCUGUUGUCAGCCACCCAGAAACAUAAAAGAUUUAGUUCAAAAUACUCUAAUAACAAUUCAUUAUUAUUAAUAAUAGUCAUUUAGAAAGACACAAUUUAUUGUAUGUAAAAAGAAAAUUUGUCAUCAAAUACC